UCCCUUGUGGCUUAGCUGUUAAAGAAUCUGCCUGCAAUGUGGGAGAUCCAGGUUCGAUUCCUGGGUUGGGAA
rnacentral:tRNA from 1 species